rnacentral:rRNA from 1 species
GACGAACGCUGGCGGCGUGCUUAACACAUGCAAGUCGAACGGAAACGCCCUGCUUUUGUGGGGUGCUCGAGUGGCGAACGGGUUAGUAACACGUGAGUAACCUGCCCUUGACUUUGGGAUAACUUCAGGAAACUGGGGCUAAUACCGGAUAGGAGCUCCUGCUGCAUGGUGGGGGUUGGUAAGUUUCGGCGGUUGGGGAUGGACUCGCGGCUUAUCAGCUUGUUGGUGGGGUAGUGGCUUACCCAGGCUUUGACGGGUAGCCGGCCUGAGAGGGUGACCGGCCACAAUGGGACUGAGAUACGGCCCAGACUCCUACGGGAGGCAGCAGUGGGGAAUAUUGCACAAGGGGCGGAAGCCUAAUGCAGCAACGCCGCGUGCGGGAUGACGGCCUUCGGGUUGUAAACCGCUUUCGCCUGUGACGAAGCGUGAGUGACGGUAAUGGGUAAAGAAGCACCGGCUAACUACGUG